GGCUCCUGCUCCCCUGGUAGACCGGCAGUGUUCGGGGCGUGUGUGCUGGGAUCUGAUGAGCAGGGAGCAGGCCUUGGUUAGUGACAGGACAGCCGUUGCCACACCGCAAGGGCCCUACCGGGGACGAUUAGCAUAUAUAAAAGUAGAAAAACUCUACUAAGUCGUUACGAACCCUCAGCAGGUUUGUGAUGGCACCAAACUGUGUGGUGCAGUCGACUCGCUGGAGGGAAGGGAAGGGAUGUCAUCCAGAGGGACCUUGACAGGCUUGAGAGGUGGGACUGUCUGAACCUCGUGAAGUUCAACCAAGUGCAAGAUACAGCACCUGGGUCAGGACAAUCCUAAGCACAAGUGCAGGCUGGGCAGUGAAUGGACAGAGUGCAGCCUUGAGGACGAGGACCUGGCAGAGGAGAAGCUCAGCAUGACUCGGUAGUGUGCACUUCCAGCCCAGAAUGCCAACUGUGUCCUGGGAUGCAUAAAAAAAAAAUGUGGGGAACAGGGUGAGGGAGGGGAUUUUCCCCUCUACUCCACUCCUGUUAUGUCCAGCUCUGGGACCCCCAACAUAAGAAAGAUGUGCAACCUGCUGGAGUGAGUCCUGAGGAGGGUCACAAAGAUGAUCAGAGGACUGGAGCACCUCUCUUAUGAAGACAGGCUGAGGUUGUUCAGCCUGGAGAAGAGAAGACUUCAGAGAGACUUUACAGCAGCCUUCCAGUAUCUAAGGGAACUUACACGAAAGCUGGAGAGGGACAGGGCUUUAAACUGAGGGGAACAAUAUUCACCCAUGGAGGGAUUCAGCAAGUUAAACUUCAGAUACCUGAAGCUGAAGAUUAAAUCAGAAGUUUGACAACAAGAAAUAGAGAGAAUACUAAUGAAGAGAAUUGGUUUUCAGUUCUGGGGAAAGAGAAGAUAAGUGAGAGAAUAACACUUUAUCUUCAGUAUUUGUGGCACAAACAUGGUAAUAGUCUAGGCCGUCUACUUUCAGCAUAUAUACACGACAUUUUAUUUCUUUUUCUUUUGUCUUAAAAGUGUUUUGUCUCUCAGUUUCUUCCUUUCAGAUGAAUUCUUUAAAUAUACUGACAUCCCAUUCUAGGGCCUUUCUCAGAAAGGAGCUGCCUUUGAUGAAAAUCCUCUGCAAAAACUGAAGCACCUUACUGUGUUUACAGCACUCUUUCAGCCGUAUCCUUCACGUUCAAUGGCACCAUGAGAUGCCCAGAGGUGUCCACAUAACUGAAGUUGAACUGUUGGGCUGUCAGGUCCUAACUGAAUUUCUUUCAGGUUGCCCCAUGGUUAAGUUAUGCAUCACAAUAAUUUCUUUUAUUGUGUAAAUAUGUGGUAAUUGGCAAAUUGAGAAACAUCACAAAUCCUGUCGUAGUAGGAGAAAUUAAUAACUGGUCACUCUGUAAAGAGAUAAAAUUGCUUGUGGUGUGGCACACCUGAAGACCAGCAAACCUUCAUCUGCGGCUGCUUGGAGGGACAUUCCCUCUCCAGCCCUCAGACCCUGAUGCACAGACCCCCAUGGAGCCAGCAGGAGAAGGCAGUGGCUUCUGCACACCCUCAGCACCCUUAGCAACCUGCAGGAAACGUGUGAAGUGGGAGAAUUGAUAUGUCAAAGCCUUUUAGAAUUAUGGAAAAGGAGCAUUCUGGUUUCCAUUGUGCUGCAUCAUACCUGCUUUCCAUGCAGAACAGGCUCCUAACAUCAUGUAGCUUUAAAGCACGAGAGCGCACUAACAUGGCCUGGAGAGGAAACGGGACACAACUGAGUGUGGUAAUGUACAUAAAGGCAUGAGAACUGUGUCAAAAUCCUGCUGGAGGACAGAAGUUGUAGGCCCCUGAGCAAGACAAGCAGCGCAGCUCCUCGCGUUCUUUGUCCUUAAGGGGGCAGCAGUACAAUGCAUUGGAGCAUCCCUCGGAGUUUUCUGGGAACCGUGUGCUCCUUAGUCUACUUCACUUCCCUUAAACUUCGUGUGUGUUGUCCUAGGACUGUGCAAGUCGACUUUGUCCCAGCUAUGCAGUUGUAGUUUGUCUAUUUUGGCGAGGGCUAUGAGGGUUUUUUCAGUUUAAAAAAAAGGAGGGGCUCUCAUAUUGUUACAGAAGAGUAGGCUAAUAGUGAUAGGUGAAAAUAAGAAUUUGAAUAAAUAUGGAUUGUUUUCAUUUUAGACAAGGAACACCUUCUUAUGCAGAAGUAAGGUCAGAACAUUCUAGAUUUUUCCCUGUUGGUUUUCAAAAAACAUGAAAAUACUUUUGGAGUAACAUUAGUCAACCCAAAAAGUGUUGGGGUUUGGUUUUUUUAAAAGUAUAUUUAAUUUUAGCACCCUGCUAAAAUAUGAGCAUCAGGUUUGUACCUGAUUUAGCUUUUUACCCAUGUAAUUGUUCAGUGCACAGGUAUAAGAAUGCCUCACAGCCCAGCAUCCCCACCCUGAAGCAACAUAUGAUGUAUCAGUGGGAUUCUUCGUGCAUUUAAACAGGACUGUUGGAUUUGGUUCCUUGAUUUUGAGUUUAAGACACUAAGAAUGAAACAUUUGUUUAGGAACCAUCACAGGAAUAAAUUCAGGAUAUACAGAAGUAGGGCUAUGACUUUUUACAGAGUGAUACUUUGGGAGACAUAGGUCUAUCAACACUAAUUUAUUUUAAGGAUAACCUUUGUCUCUGCAAGACAGUGAAAUCUGUCAAGAAUAUAUUUUCUUUGAAAAAUUGUCUCUAGCACUAACUAUUUCUUUAGUAGACUUUUAAAAGUCGAACAAAAUACUAUAUAAUCUUCUAGGCAUCCCUCUGUGGCACACAGGAUGCCUUGUUACUAGGUAGAGAAGCUUGGUGAAUAUACUUAAGUAUUGAUCAGGAUUUAAUAUUCCAUUAAAUUCCAGUGACUUCUCAAGUUUUACUGUUUAUUGGGAUAUUUAGCAGCAUUUUUAUAUGGUACAAAAUAUGGACACAUCAACUUUCUAGUGGAAUUACACACAUAAAAUUUAUAGUGUCCUGCUGGGAUUAGGACAUCUGAUUACAUCUGGCACCUCAGUGCUAUAUUCCCUACAUUCUAUCUCAGCAGCAUAGAAAUGAAAAUCAGGAUGCUAAACAGACAAGGCUCCCAAAACUAAACUCAGUAGUUCAUCAAAAGGUUAAACAGACAGUAAUCCACUAGGUGCUCAGAGUCUCUCAAAAGCCUUCUUACUGUCCUUAUCAUCUCUCUUAGAUCUUGUAAUCUACCUCAGGCUGUUCCCAUGCAACAUGAAAGAAGGAAAUGAAAAUCAAUUUUUUUGUCAGAAUGAUUAAUAACCAAGACUGAUUGCUGGGCCCUUAGUGAGUGUAUAUUUUAAAACUCUGCACAGUUGUUUAAAGGUACUUUGAAAGAUUUUUCUUUUUGACCUGGGUGAAUGUUACAUUUAGUCAAAAGAAAUUGCACUAGAAAUAUGGGCUUUUGGGGAAGAUAUGCUUCCAAAACACACCUUUUUGUAUUUAAUAGUGAGAGAACAGUGCAGUUUCUAUGAUCUAUGGGACACUGUUUAUUUUUUCUGUGUUUGGGAUUUUUUUUUCUUGUUCUUUUGGGCCUACUCUUAUGUUUACAAUGUGAAGUAUAAAAUCCAGAAGAUUACUCAGUUUUCAGUCCUCAUUUUCCAUUAAUUUGUGAUGCAGUCAUGGACAGAUAACACAAAUUGCUUAUGGCUUCAACUUCUUCAUGAGUAAACCAAGAAUAUGUCUAAUUCAGACAUUUUGAAGAUUUCUGAGUAGUCCAAGUAGGUUACAGGUGUGCAUUUCAAGCCUGACAUUUGCUGAUUAUUGCAUAAAAAAGUCUAAUAUAUUCCAAUACUCAGUCUGCACAAAAGAACAGAGCUAUCGAACAGCCAGUGGGAAAUGCCACAACUAUAACACUGCAGACAUGAAGAUAACAGAACUAGAAAAGACCUAACAACAGCCAUGUUCUGCCCUGGGACAGGAUCAAUCCGGCUACAAACAUCCUUAGAAGUCAACUGUCUACUUCUUUAAAAGUACCCCUUUGAAAGAGCCACUGAGGCAAUUUCUUCCAGUGUUUAAUAGUUCUUACAUGCAGAACACAGAGUUUUCUCCCUCCUUUCAUUUCAAAACAAAGUCUCUGUUGCUCUAAUGCAUCUUUUUUUUUCUUGUGUUGUGUCCUAUUCCUAACAGAUGGGAGAACCACAUGCACCAGACUUCCAUCUAUUUGAAGUCUGCUACCAUGUUUUUCCACUGACUCUUUUUGUUUAAUUGUUUAAGUUCCUUCCUUAAAGGCUGAAGGGUUUUGAGCCUGCUUGUCUUUGAUUCUCAGUCUGGAUGAUGUUCAUUCAUCAGUCCAUUAUCAAAUUGGUCACUAUCAAAUUUUCUGGAAUACAGAAACAAAAACUGGACACUUUGUUCUAGUUUUGGUUACUACAACUAGUUACUACAACUGAGUACAGAAAAAUUUAACCCACUGUAAUGUAACACAUUUCUGUUAAUGUAACACAAAUCUGUGCUUUCAAACUAACAUAAAAGUUACUUAAUUAAUUACAAUCCUUACCAUGUUAGGAUUUUCAAGACCAGAUUUUAUCCUAUUGCUAUGAUAAGUAGAGAGAAUUUUUUCCUUCUUUAACUAUAAACCCUCUUUCUUAAGGAGCAUUUGAUCUUCUAUUCAAUACAUAUUUUCUUCUGUAUGUGUGCAUUGCUGAUUAUAAUGAGAGUGAUAUUUCUUGGAGCUGCAAUAACAAAAAACUAAUAUUAAUGCUUAUAAAUCUAAAAUACAAGAGAUUAUUUUGAAUAUAAAUUACAUUUUAUAUUUACUGUUCUGUUUCUGCUUCUAGAAGAUGUCUAGUAGUGGUCUGAUGGAAGGAUAAAAAAAACGUGUGCUGCAUUUUGAUAAGAAGGAGGUGAUGUAGAGGAAUGUAUACUAAGCAUCAAGAAAAGUCCAUCAUGCUGAUAUAACUGUUGAAACAUCUAUGCUCUGUUUCUAUGUAUGUCUGUGAAGCAGGUCAGAGAAACCUCUUCUGUUUUUAGGCAAACUAUGUCUGCAUUUAGCUGCCUUUAUGUUCUUGACAGGGAGAGAGGCAAUUAUGAUAAAGUUUAAAGCUGUGGAAGCAAACACAAAGAAAUAUGAAUUUGGGAAAAAAAUUUCAGAGAAAGAAGGUGAUAGAAUUCUUCAUCAGAAGUCCUUACUGAAAACAUGCAGAAAGAAAAGAGGAGGCAGGAAACUAUACAGAAAUUUCCUACAUCUCUAGAGAGAGAAGAAUACUGAAACAAAAGAAAAGGAAGAACAGUAAGAAAAUACAUCUUUGCAAGACAAGUUGUAUCAGUUUGUGAAACUUUGGAUUUCGAACACACAGAAAUAGGUUAGACUGAUGCUGAAACACAGUUAAACCAAAUUCAACGCAAUUAUGAAUGAAAAUGUUUGUUUCUGUCAUGAUCUCAUUAAGGAAAACCACUGUCUUUUUCAAUUUCCAAUUUCAACUGACUCAUAUUUCAUUAAAAAACUGUUCACAGACAUUUCCUUGGAAUAUUCCUUUUUCUCCAGCAGAACUGUUCAGACCACAAUUCUUCUCUGCAUGGCAUAGGGGAAUGGUUUCAAACACCAUGUAUCCUCAGUACUGAAGACUGAGUCUCAGUGAUGUUCACUCCUUGUCUCUGAAAUAUGAACCAGCAUAUUUGUGAUUUGAAGGAGGGUUCAUUUUUUCUGAAACUCCUAAAUUUUAUGUAUUCAUGUCAAUAGUUCCAUAUAGAGCACAUAAAAACCAAUAAUUGUAGGAAAUAUCUGUAAUGCAAACUCAUACAAAAUAAUUUUUGAAGGCAUGUAGGAAAAAUAGAACUGUCAAAACAAGGCUUUUGAAAUAUUGUGGAUUCAAAUCUUAUCUGUACUUAUACAACUUAAUUUGUAUAUUAAGUCUGAUACAUUAAUUCAUGCAGAGCAGGACCUGAUUCUAAGAUCACUUCAAUUAAUGUCAGUGUUGCACAUUAAUUUUGUACUGAGUUUACUAAAGGAUGUAAUGUUAGCACAUUAUUCUUCUGUCCAUUCAGUCAACUAAGAAAAAUAUGUUUCACCACUGCAUUUAAACGGGAUUGUUUUGUAGAAUAAGGCCUAAGGGAUAUUGACUCUAAGUUAAUUAGAAUUUGAUUUAAUGGAUUUAGAGAACUUCAAAUUAAUUGUUUAAGCAGAUGCAAGGCUCCUUGCAAGAGUCCUACUUAUAAUGGACUUUAUAGGCAAUAUAUGGAAUAUAAAAAGUAACUUCAGAUAUCUGUCAUCCUCAAACCUAUAGCAUCAGUGUACACUCUUUUCUUUAUGGAACAAGGAAAUAUACAUUAAAAGCAGUGGGAAAUUACCUAGCAUGACGGGGGGAAGUACUGCUUGAUUGAAUAGAUUCGCUCUAUUUUUUAAAGUCUGAGUUUGUAUAGUCCUGUCAGACACAGCUUUUAAAAUAUCAAUCUUUGUUUCAAGGUGUUGCAUAUUUUAAGAAAUUACUUACAAUAUUAGAGUUUGACAGUUUUUUGUAAUAUAGGGACCAAAAUACUAAAUUUCAGUAUUCAUGCUGUAAAUGUGCCAUUCUGGUUAUAAUAAAUUUAUCUUUUUUGCUAGCUAGUGCUGGCUGCAUGAAGGAGGUGAGACCCUUGCAUUCUUCUUAAAGCACUUUUGCCAAUAAAAUCAUUCAAUAUCUCUGAUUAAGUCUUUUACAGUCACUCUACCUCCAGUGGCUUAUUUUUUUGAACAAUUUCUGCUCUGGUAUUCAGACUUCUAAACAAAUUAAACAAAGAUACAGAAGGCCAAAGAGCAAUGCAGAACUCUUUGGACUAAUUUUGCAAAAAAAGGGAGAAUAUAGUAGGAAGCAAGGCAAAAGAAAUAAGUUUAGCCAAGGAAUAGGUAAUGCAAAGAUUAUUCUAUUAAAUUAUAUGUAAUACAAAUGCAGAGGACUUGGACAGCAGUUUAUAUUGAAAAGCCCUGAAUAUAUAUGAUUACCCUCAUUUGUUCCAAACUGUGAAUAUGAAAAUCAGGAUUAUAGGAUUUAUCAGAUUUUAUUUUUUUUUCUGUAAAACCAGCAAGAACAUUUUUAUUACAUGCUAAUUUUCUUUUCUUGCCUGUGAUAAAAUUAUAUAGUCUCUUAACCAUUAAGAGAACUUCUUAGUUUUCAAAAAGGCAGUGAAUCCUCAAUAAAGUCACCAGGAUGGGAACAAAGACCCUUUC